UUUUGUCUGGGUUUUACUUUGUCUCCUACUAAUCGUUUUAACAUUUGCCUGGUGUAGCCUUUAGACUCAUAUUCAAAAUUUUAGUAGCAAUGUGUUUCCCACAGACCUCUAGUGAGCAACAUCUCUCUAGUUUUUGCAUCUUUGCUCACUUGAGGAAACUGUGUUUUAACACAAUGUAACUCACUCACACUUAUUUGUGAUCACAGAUACGUGUGGAUGCACCGCUGUCAUUUGUAGUUGUCUGCUACCAUUUUCCUCAUCAUUUGUCGUCUUAAUUUAGAGCUGACUUGUAUGGAUUUUUUACAAUGUACUGAUCCACAUUGCACGUAUUUUUAUAUCAUUUGAUGUUUAAAAUAACCCUAUGAUUUAUGUUGCAGGUGAAGAAACUGAGGCUCAGUGAAGUUCAAUAACUUGUCCACAGCCCUGUAACAGCUAAACUGUCAAACCCAGACCCAGACGGUAACAACCCCUCUCUGAAGGCCGAUCUUAACUUCCAGAUUUUGCUGCUUCUUUAUUCUGAGUUUCUCCCCAUCUCUCUCUAAUGGUUUGAACAUUAUACUGUUAUUUGUAUGACACUAACGAUAACAUGCAAAUUUUUAUCAACCGUAUCUCAACAUGUUUUCAAACCAAGGGACUAAUUAUUCAGCAUCUACAACCCAUUCCUCCUAAAAAAUGCAAGAUUAUCAGCAAGUGUCCUCUAUCGUUCCUAGGCUUAAAGUUUUGUUGACAUAACUUAGAAUUGGUACUUUAGGUUAUCAUAUGGGUAAUAAUUUUAUUUCUCUUCAUGCUCUUUCAAAGUGCUGGCGGAUAACUUCUGGACUGUUUUGGCACUUACUUUCUCUAUAACGAAUGCUCUUCAUCCAUGUCCACUCUAUCACUGGUCCUCUUUCAUUUACUUUUUAAAAAUUGAUUACAGGACCACUAAUGUUUUAACUGCCUGAAUUUUUUUCUUCUCUGAUUAUUUUUCUCUGUCAUAGCAUUCUGAUCGUGGUCGAUCCAAUGAUACAUGAUAUUAAUCAUCUUGAUGAAAUAACUUUGGAGCAUUUUUUUCUGGGACAUACAUUAAGUACUUUAUUUGGCCCUUGACUGAGUCAUGAGGCUCAGAGGAAAAUUCUAGGGAAAAAAAAAAAAAAAGCCUGGAUGAGACAAAGGAAUGGAUGAUAGGAGGUGUGUCUUACCUACUGAGGCAUGAAAUUCUUGUACCUGCAAAGGCCGACUUCUCAGGACGGCUUGCCCAAGCCACACUUUGGAGAUUUAAGGGUCUGUGAUAGCUCGAUUUCAGGCUGUUAUGAUUUAUAGCUGAGAUUCAGCUUGGCUCAUAGCAGCCAUGUGCCGUUCUGUUCGGCCUCCAGUGCUCCAAAGACUGCCUCUUGUCACUUCGACCCCAGUUUAAGAAGAAACACAAGCCACUCUUCAGAUGACAAAGCCAUUGACUGGCUGGGCAUUCAAGUCCUCAGCUCUGCGGAGCUGGAGCUCUUUCUGUGUUUCGAGUUUAGUGCAGCUGGAGACACGCUGCGUGAGCUUGGCUGAAGGCCUCCCGCCAGACCUGGCUUGCCGCACAACCCAGCCAAAGAGGCAGCACAGCAGCCAGUUAGCCAACAGCUGUCUGUCAACAGAAUAAACGCGGUGAAUGGGCAACCAAGGUCUGUCUUCGCCCCACACGCUGCCCAGUCCCCAGCCACAGCAAAGGCAGUUCCACUAAACAGCUUGCUCAAAAUUCGAUGAACGGAACCCAAGACUUGGAGACAGCAAACGCCACAUGGAAGACUUGGAGGCAGAGACCAUCAGCUCCGAAGUUUUCUUGCCUGCACGGCAGGCAGACCUGUGAAACACUUGACCUCCCAGGACCUCUGGAUCCCCUGUGAUACAUGGAGAUGUCUUAGUCACCAGCAAGCACACUACGUUAGGGAUUCAGGCCAGCCUGCUGACUCCCUUUAUUUGAGUUGGAGUGGAUCCACCCCAGAGGCAGGCAGCAGCUUGGGAGAUGGAUUAUUGCUGGGUAAAGUGAUACCCGGCAGCCAACUCCUGACGAGACGUCAGUUCUGCCCUAGGCUCUAGAACCCACACUGUGGGUUUAAGCAACCCCUAAAAUAGUCCCAGCGAAAGUAAGACGAUGAUCGGCAAUAGAACUUGGCUGUGGGGCAACUGGUUCACUCCGGGAGACGCUAACCUGCAGAAAUACUGUUUUAAGAGGGGGAAGGUGUGCUGGCUGGUUGAAUCGUUGGGUGAUGACCCAGUUCUCGACAGAAAAAGGAAGUCGUGGGUGGGUUUUGGAAAGUCUUUGAAUGAGCGGGUCCUCUGCUGAUUCAUAUAUUUCACAUGUGAGCCCAAAGUGGCCAUCCCAGAGGUCAUGUUACAGGAAGAAAGUAACAAACAUGCAUACGUUUCCCUUUUAAUAUUCAGACAUAGAUAAAUAAAAAACCAUAAGGGUCCUA